rnacentral:rRNA from 1 species
CGGGAAACCGGAGCUAAUACCGGAUAAUAUUUUGAACCGCAUGGUUCAAAAGUGAAAGACGGUCUUGCUGUCACUUAUAGAUGGAUCCGCGCUGCAUUGCUAGUUGGUAAGGUAACGGCUUACCAAGGCAACGAUGCAUAGCCGACCUGAGAGGGUGAUCGGCCACACUGGAACUGAGACACGGUCCAG